rnacentral:lncRNA from 1 species
UGAAGAUGUUUUAAUAUCUCUACUACACCACAGCUAUCUUUACCUAGCUGCAUUUGAACAAUGUUUAAGUUGUCUAUUUCUCUUUCUUUGUUCUUUUUUCCCUCUCUUUAUGUAUACUCAUUUAUGCUUAUUAAUCACAUAACAUCAAAUAUUUAUCAUGAAUAAUAUUUGAUCCUUCUGCCACAUACGAAAAUUGUUCGUAUCCAUACAUUUUUCUUACGGUUAAUUUCAAACUUCCUGGAAGAACUGUUGGAAUUUCACUAAAAGAUGCAGAUGAUGGGUGUUAAAUGGUGCCGUUGUUGUAAUCUCGAACUGUUUCUUCUUCUGCUUUACCAUCAUACUAAUUUUAUUCCACUGCACCUCAUGCAUUUAUGUCUUUGGGUACUGAGGUAAAGCCACUAAAAGCUUUGAUCUCUUUCUUUUUCUUUGUCGAUUUUAUGUUAGAUGCUAAUUUGCAGGACCAAUGUUACCUAGAACAUUGAAAUUUUCAGUAUUAGGAUCGGGAAUGAUAAUGAUGUACCCCAUUAUGUCUUAAAUCAUGGUACGAUAAUGGUAGAUUUAUCUAGGUCAUACCAUUAGAAUGUCCUAUCAUGAAAAAUCUAGUUGGAUAUCCAUGGAAAACACAUUUUGACAAUUUUUUUAACACUUUCUCCGCUAUGACAAUUAGUUUAUUUCUCCAAAAAGGGAAAAAGUAGGAAAAGUUUUGGAACGUAUAUGUGGGAUCACUAUAUUCACUGCAUCGAAAGAAAUUUUGAUACCCAUAUUUGGAAUGUAUGUUUCAAUAUGAAAUCAAUAGGGUUACAAUGUAUUUCGUAUGUAGGAUAAGGCAUUGAUGGAUCUGGUGUAUUUUAGAUGUAAGGGUUUAUGUGAACGAGUUCAAGGGAGUUGGGUCUUCAACAUUUGGGCUAUUUAGAGGUGUCAAACGUGCCCACCAUGUCGUGUCGUGCCACUUUUCUUCCGUACCAAUCGUGCUUCGUGCCGUUCCGUACCAGGCCCAUUUACUUAACGUGUCUUGCCGGGUCAGGCCUUAAUCGUGCCGUGCCAUUGUUAAUCGUGUCGUACCGUGCUAUUUUUUCUAUCGUGUUGUGCCGUGCAUGCAAUUUUGAAAUCGUGUCGAUGCCUUGCCGGCCAAUUUACUACUCGUGCCAUGCCUGCUGGCCACGCUACUUAAUUUGGUUGUGUCGUGCCAAGCCCGCUAACUAGUCGUGUGAUCGUGUCGUGCCGUGCCGUGCGUUGUCCGUCUACGGGGAGUGCAUUAAUGCGCCAUAAAAUGAUAAGAAUACAAUUUUGUAACGUAUUUAUGAAAAGAAAUUAACAAGAGAGAAAACCAUCAUUUUCAGGGUUGUAGGUAGUACCCAAGAUACUCGGACACCGAGAGCUCUUACUCUGCAGCUAACAACAAUUGAAUUCCAUUCUGCCCACUGCUGGCUUUCCCUACUUUCUGCAAAAUUACUUAAAGCAGUUGACUGAUGAAACUAAAAAUGCAAUUGAUGAGAUCAAAAUAUGCCCCGGUAUGAAGGAGCAAGAUGACUUCUGCAUCCACAUAAUUAUGAGUGUUGACCUCAUACGGAAUAUUAAUAAGACUUCGUGGCCCAACUAAAGUGAGCAAACUGGUGAAUUAGAACUCAAUAAGAACCCAGAUAGUAGUGGCCCCAUGAGGACUCCAGCAGAUAUCUUAUUGGUUCCUCCAGAAGAAAGAUCACAUCAGCAGCGGCACCAACAGAUCAAGAACAAAGAGUUCUUAUUAAUGAAAUAGAAUAAAGAACUUGAAACUCCAGUCAAAAUUAUAGUGAUAGAGUUCUCUACGGCUAUUCCUUUAAUCUUUAACUAGUUUCAAAUUUGGGAAAAAAGUUGUAAAACCUCUGGUUCCUGAACCAAUCCUGUCAACACAGAAUACGAAUCAUAACAAUUAGUACUUUGGAGUCUAAAUUAAAGUUAACCAAUUCACACCUCCGAUCUAUACACUGUUACCAGAUUAGAUCAACCCAUACACCAACACAAAGCAAGCACAAACUAUGAAAAAAAUGGGUUAUUUCUUCCACCAUAAUACUCAAUAGCAAGGAAUAAAACCCCCAAUUAAAGUGUUAAUAAAAAAAUGAAGACCAUUAACUAAUCGAUCCUAUGUUCAUACACAACAAGAUAUAUACAGAUAUAAAAACAAUAUAGACCAAGCCAAAUUAGUGGACUCCAUAUUUCAACAUACUUCGAUUUACUAGUAGAAAUUCCAGAUGAGGAAAAAUACUAGAGAAAGUAAAUUCAAAUUAAACUCAAAUAACAAUCUCAUCAAACAAGCACAAUCUCAAUUCCCUUACACUCUUCUCCCAUUAAAAACACUUUAGAUCAGCAGAAAUUUCUUCAUCCAAUGGGCGGAGUUUAGAGCAUCUCUCCACAGUCAUCUAUUUCGGUUCCUGGUUUAAGAUAACUCCUAGGUUUCUUGGUUUGAAUGGGAAAGAAAAUGGGGAUGCUGAGAGAGCGAUAGGGGGGUUAGGGGAGGGAAAGCUAGGGUUUGGGUAUUUAAACCGGGCGGAUUUUUUGCAAUUUUGGGAAAAUUUUUGCAGUUAAUCUUACGAAUUUAGAGAUUUUUUGUUUAAUUUCACUUUGCCUCAUUAAUUUGAUAUAAUUAUUCAGGUUUUAAACCCUUUAUUUUUUCAAUUUCUAAUCAUUCUAAGCCUUUUACUCUUAUCAUAUUAUCAAUUUGCUCCCCUUCAUAGAUUCUAAGAGUGUUAAAAUUCUAUACUAAUGUCCUAAAAAUGGGCAUAUGCGAGUCACAUGCUCAUUUUCCGCAUUCCUUAUUAUGCCACAGGAAAAUAUGUUACUUAAUAAUUAACUAAAAAUACAAGUUUUGACUAUCAAAAUUGAUAGCCAAGUAGUGCAAAGUUUUUGUAUUACUCGGGAUCGUCAGUAUUUUUUUCUAAAUGGAACCGUCAACAUUUUUCACCGGGAGUGAUUAUAACCUCUAUGCAAAAAUUGAGUAAAUUAAUUAUCAUUACGUCUUUGAUUGAAUUAGACAAUUUUUUGAUUUUUAAAUGAAUCUUGUCCAAUGAAAGGGCUUUCAAUACCGUAGAUUUUUAAAUUUAGCAGAAUAAUUAAAAAAACAAACAAACAAGUGAAUGUUUUUGAUUGUCAUAAUUGUGUUGUCUAUCGUUUUGGCCUAUUGUAUAUAUCCUAUAGCAUAUAGGUUUGGUUUGGAUUAAGUAAGUUCGAUGUAUAAGAUUGAAAGUCCAGAUAUAGACCGAUUUCCCGAAUGUUCGAUCUAAAAACCGUUCAAUUAUAUCUAUAAAUUGUAUAAUUUGUCUCCGAAAAUGGUGAAUGAUCAAAUAUCAAACCAUCUGAUCAAUCACAUUUGUUUGCAUCUAUGAGCAAUAAUAUCCUAUAAAUGCAGACUCGAUGGCCAUCACAACCUUUUUUUCGAAUCGAAUCGUAUAGAUUUUAAGUAUGAGUGAUGAUUCCUCUAAUCAAAAAUAAAGUAAUUUAAUUGUCGUUACGUCCUUGAUCGAGAAGAAACAAAUUGUCCGGUUGACAAUCAAUUUAUUUUAAAAAAUUCAAGUCAUUUAUUUUAAAAAAUGAAAAAAAAUCAUAAUUUUAUUUUAAAUUUUCCAUUUUUUUUUCUUAUUAGUAUGGCAUUUGAACAAAUCAAUUUAUUUAAUAAAAAAAUCUUUUUUUCAUAAUUUUAUUUUAUUUAUAAUGGCUGCCCAGACAAGUAAAAUUAUUUAUUUACCUCUUCAUAUUCAAAAAUUAUUUUUAUUUUUUUUCUUAUUAUGACAAGUUAAUUUAUUUAAUUAAAUUUUUUUUUAAUUUUAUUAAUAAUUAAUCAUUUCUUGCCACUCUCCGUGUCGGUCAGCAAUGCUCUGCCGUGCAGACUAGUACCAACCGUGCCCAUGCCCUGCCAUGCCAGACUAGUCUGUGUCGUGUCGUGUCGUUUCGUGCCGUGCAAAAUCAAGCCAAAUAUCGCGUCGUGCCCGUGCCGUGCCCGACUUUGACUGUGUCGUGCCGUGUCAUGCCAUGUCGUGCCAUGCCAACUAUCGUGCCGUGUCCCACCAUUUUCGUGCCCCGUCCCCGUGCCCGCUCAGACCAUGUCGUGCCUAACUUAUACCGUGCCCAAAUCGUGCUCGUGACGGAUUUUUUCGUGCCAUGCCCGUGACGUGACGUGCCGGCACUGGCACGCAUUAGGACACUCGAUCUAGGGCUUAUUUGAGGGCCUACUGCUUAUAAACCAACAGAUGCCUUUUGUUUUCUAUGGUUUUAAACAGGCCGACAGGAAAUCUUUCACUACACAUUUGUGGCAUUUUUGCCUUAAAAAAAUAAAAAUCAAAGAAGAACGAACCGUUACCAAAUUUGCCUUGCAGUACUCAGAAAUAGCUUUUUUUGUUGGCCCAGAUAAUCAACCCUAGAGGGGGUGAAUCGGGUUGUUGGCAACUUUUUCUUUUAUUAAAAAUUAUAACCAAAUUAAGAGUUUAGAAUAAUUUAAAAAAGCAAGAAUAUAAAUGAACUAAAUAAUAGAUAUAGGGGAUAGAGAUUCCAACUCUGGGGCCGAGUUUCUAGUGGUCCGGGACCUUCCUGACCUACGGCCACUCCUCAGCCAAAGCCACUUGAGAUUUCAAUUCAAUCCACUAAACCAACUCCUUACGGGUGGAGUUCAAAAACCUUUACACGUCAAGAGCACACCACUCUGCUCUUCACAAGGUGGAAAAACCUCUUCUCACAGCUCACAAAGGGUCACACCAACUCCUCAAGGGUCACACCAACCCUUUUGAUAUCAGAUGCAACUAUGAAUCGGAUUUGAGAUUUCUCUCACAAUAACAAUUCCUCCUUUUUGAGAAGGAUAUACAAAUGAAGUUUUGUUAAGCAAUGAUAUCUCUCACUAGAACUCUUGUAUUAAUUAAACUUGAAAGGCUCAAAGGAAAUGAAAGAAGUAAUGCUUUAGUUCUAAGCUUGUUUUCUCACUUGGUUACUUAUUAAAAUGAGAGCUAGGAUAUGUAUUUAUAGGCCAUUAGCAAGAU